rnacentral:siRNA from 1 species
UCGUCCUUCUCUAUGUGGUACCUU